UGAAGAGUGUUGGUGCGAGGACUGAA
rnacentral:piRNA from 1 species